UUUCAGGAAUCAAAACCUUUUCUGCUUCUUCAUGCAUCUUCUAGAUCAUCUCACUAUUUACCUUCAUUGUCACAGAUGUCCCAUGAAAAAGUGCCAACCAAUGGAAGCAUGAAGAAUGACAGAAAAAUCAUUUCAGGAUUAUUAGCAAUCAGGUUUUUAAUAUUCUCAUACAGGAUAGUGUGUGAACCUGAGGCCAAGUCAAAGUACAACAUUUUCCUAAAUCAGGGUAUGCCUUUCUGAUACCAGCCAUUUUUUCUGAAUUCUCAAUUUUUGAAAAAUCAAGAACCCCUCUCCAUGCACAAUAAAGAAAAAAUAAAGGAGAAAAAAAUAGACACGGAAAAUUUAACAUGGUUCGGCGUACAAUGUGUAUGUCUACGUUCAUGACUACACUAGGAAGUAUUUUUAUUUCUAGUGUAUCUCAAGCUUUACAUAGGGUCUCUUAUAUAGUAAAAUAGAGAACCACAUCUCACAAUUCUAAGUGAUGUGAUACUAAAUCAAGCACCAUAAUACUAACAAUUUUCCCACUUGGGGUUUGAUUUACAUUACCACCUAGUGUAGUGUCUUCAUCAUCAAUUUUCUUGAAGGCCAGUUGAGGCAAUGCAAAACCUCAACUUAGUUGUUGUGACAGUCUUGGUCAACAUAUCAGCUAGAUUAUGUACACCAGGAAUGCUUCGAAGGACUCAUCCUUGAGAGAAAGAUUGUCAGGAAUCCAAGUGUGAGUCUAAAUCCCACAUUGGCUAUAAAUGAGAAAGUAGAGCACUAUAUAAGGAUAAAGACCCAUAAAUCCAUUGCCUUAAGGUUUUGGGUUGAGAGUGGUGUCAAUGCCUUAUGUGGUUGGACUCAAGUCUCAUUGGCUCGUGGUUGGGAAUGCUUCUACUGGAGGGGGAGUGUACCAAUGUAUGGUUAGACUCAGUCUCAUUGGUGUUUGUUCUUCCCAAUAAAAUCUCCUAUGUAAUCCUAACAUAGCCUGAAUAUCUUUAAAAGAUAAAAGAUCUUAUUAAUGGACCUUUUCCAGAUUAGAUGUGUUAUUCAUAUUACAACUCGUACAGCAAUUAUUCAUACACAAUUAUGUCCAUCUCUCUCCCUCGUACAAUUUAUUAUAUCUCAUUCUUCUUUCUCUUUUUCUUCUUUUACUUGUGUUAGAUUUUUUUCUUACUGGGACUGGAACAAUUGACCACAUCUGUUGUCUGAGUUGCUCAUAUAAUAAACCUGAGACUGCCUCUAACAUAAAACCUUAAGAUUCAGUGUUUUUGGGUCUUCUUUUUUUCAUAAGUUGUAAAUUUGUGCAUUAAAUUUAUUGUACAAAUAUCGUUUACAUUUCCAUAUUGAGGGAUAAGAAUUUUGAAAUACAAAUGACAGGCAAAAGUCUUAUCCCACUGGGUUGAAAUACAAACCUCGGUUUAAAGUCAGGGAGAUAUUUCUGACGGAUGGAAGAGAGACAACCAUUUGCUGCAACAAACAAAUCCCCUUGUAUCUCUACAACCUCACUAGUUUAUAGAACCUUGGCCUUUACUAUGACAGAACCCUUAUCAUAUAGAAGAUGGAAAGAGAGAAAAAGAUGACCCCACAACAAUAUAUUUGAUGGCAGAGCAUUGUACAGAAGGCCAUGAAGGUCUGCCCAAUGCGCUGCUCUGAAAUUCAAACUCUCAUCCCUUGUCAAUGUAUUGUGAACCUUCCUCUCACUAUCAGUUACACAGUUCUACUCAGGCAAAAAA